rnacentral:rRNA from 1 species
UACGUAGGGUGCAAGCGUUGUCCGGAAUUAUUGGGCGUAAAGAGCUCGUAGGCGGUCUGUCGCGUCUGCUGUGAAAACUCAGGGCUUAACCCUGAGCUUGCAGUGGGUACGGGCAGACUAGAGUGCGGUAGGGGAGACUGGAAUUCCUGGUGUAGCGGUGAAAUGCGCAGAUAUCAGGAGGAACACCGGUGGCGAAGGCGGGGUCUCUGGGCCGUAACUGACGCUGGAGGCGCGAAAGCGUGGGGAGCGAACAGG